rnacentral:rRNA from 1 species
UAGGGAAUCUUCGGCAAUGGACGAAAGUCUGACCGAGCAACGCCGCGUGAGUGAAGAAGGUUUUCGGAUCGUAAAACUCUGUUGUUAGAGAAGAACAAGGACGUUAGUAACUGAACGUCCCCUGACGGUAACUAACCAGAAAGCCACGGCUAACUACGUGCCAGCAGCCGCGGUAAUACGUAGGUGGCAAGUGUUGUCCGGAUUUAUUGGGCGUAAAGCGAGCGCAGGCGGUUUCUUAAGUCUGAGGUGAAAGCCCCCGGCUCAACCGGGGGGGGUCAUUGAAAACUGGGAGACUUGGGUGCAGAAGAGGGGAGUGGAAUUCCAUGUGUAGCGGUGAAAUGCGUAGAUAUAUGGAGGACCACCAGUGGCGAAGGCGGCUCUCUGGUCUGUAACUGACGCUGAGGCUCGAAAGCGUGGGGAGCAAACAGG